rnacentral:rRNA from 1 species
UACGGAGGGUGCAAGCGUUAUCCGGAUUCACUGGGUUUAAAGGGUGCGUAGGCGGGCAGGUAAGUCAGUGGUGAAAUCUCCAAGCUUAACUUGGAACUGCCGUUGAUACUAUCUGUCUUGAAUACUGUGGAGGUGAGCGGAAUAUGUCAUGGUAGCGGUGAAAUGCUUAGAUAUGGACAUGAGAACACCAAUUGCGAAGGCAGCUCACUACACAGCCAUUGACGCUGAGGCACGAAAGCGUGGGGAUCAAACAGG